CCGCCGCCCGCUCGCACGUCAGCAGCGGCUAAGGGAGGACACGCUGCAUCCAACACCUGGCGAAAGCAUAAACAACAUAAAUAAUCCGGACGACUCCACAGUCAGAAACUACAAUAAUGAGGCAGCUAACAAAGAUUCCGUGGAGAUGGUUCACCUGUCGUCCGAUAGGAGCGACAGUGAAUUGCGCGCGAGUAGCGCCCCGCCGGCGCCCGCGCUGUGCUCGCCGCCGCCCUCGCCGCGCCUCGUGGUCACGCCCUGCGCGCUGCCCGCCACGCCUCCCUCCGCGGACACCUGCAUACUCAUAGAGCAGCCCGAGGCAGAAGCCAGCGACGAGCCGCCGCCGGCCGUCUGAGACCUGCCUCCGUCUCGGCUUCCCGAGACCGAACCCACCUCCCCCGACGAACCUUGUUGAUAAUUUUGUACCAGUAUACAAAGUUUCUAAAUUCUUUAUAGUAUGUUCCUGUGAACUAAACGUUUACAGAGGGACUUUUCGAUGUGUCUUCGAAAAACGACGACAAUUAUCUAUUUUUUAGACCCACUGUUGUAUAUAAUAUAGUUGGUUACGUAUGUUUAUAAAUUAGAUAGAGUUGCGUGGCGAAAUUCACUGAAUUUUACACAUAAUAACUUAUAUUUGGAGCCAAGUCCAGUAUUUGACGCCACGCACUAAUUCGAUGUGUAGUAGCCGUCACCCCUAGUUGUAAAAAAACUGAGUUUCAAUAAAAGCUAAAACAAAUUAAAAAAUAAGUACAUAAUGUGCAAAAUACUUAUAUCUAUCUAUAUGAUAAGGUUAAAGUACCUACACUUUACAUUGAACAACGACAUCUUUGAGGUAUGUACGUACAAGUAUCAAAGCGCUAAAUUGUCUUGUUUCUUACCGAAAUGAAAUCGAAUAAGAGUGGUUAUCGAGCUAAUAUUGUAGUAGGUAAUCAUAUAUUCAGUUUAAAUUAGCCAGAAUACAUUUUAGCGUCUAUUAAAAUCACUACACUAUUAAAUAUUGCGACGCGACGGCGCGAAUCGUAUCGUGCAUCUGUCAGGUUGAGACGAGUCAUAGCGCCGCAUGGAGCGCUCUGCUUUGAAAAAGCUCGUGAAAUUGCCGUAGAAGCCAUAAAAAUGUACAGCUCUCCAGUUGUCUACAACAUAAUUAAUGAAAUUUCUGAAUUAUUUGUAAUUAAUGUGGAAAUUAUUCAUUUCUAUUUAAAUAAGCAAUUUAUUAUAGGAUAAGUCUAUUACGAAUAUCAUGUGACUAAAACUUUUUCUAAAUAACCCGUUGUUGAUAUAAAAAAGACUGAUAAAAGCGAAUUUUGUAAAAAAAAACCGCUUAAUGCUAAUUAUUAUGACGUAAACAGUAAUUAAAAACACAUUAAAUAAAAUCACCUUAAUACCAAAGCUUCUUCAUGCAAAAUACAUUAAUAAGGGAGAGUCCGGUAAUUUGGACCACUUUUUUUCAAUCCUAUUUUACACAUAGUUUUGUUGUUUUUGCUAAUGUCCAUGGUAUUUAAUAAAAGGUAAAUUAUUCAACUAACUAUUUUAUAGGUAUUAAUCAACAUGAUUGUUGUAUAUUUAGCACAAAUCAACAAAAUACGAGCUCAGAGCUUCGGUCCAAUUUAGCCAACUGGUUCGAUAAUUUGUACCACGGGGUUACUAAAUUGGAUUUCAAUAAAUUUCAAGCCUAUAAAAAAACUGGAAAAAUAUUAUACGAUACAAAAAUUUUCAAAAUCCGUUGGUAAAUUUCCAUACAACUUGAUGUGGUACAAUUUAACCGACUAGGUGAUAGUGCUUUAAAAAUUCGGUAAAAAAAUAUAGCUUAUAAAUACCAAAAAAUGUUUCAAAUAAUUGUAAUCCACACAAAUUUACGCUUCUAAUUAAUAAAUUAGAAACACUGUGUGAUUAAAUUUAACAAAAUUACAAACUAAACAUCAUGCAUUCUCAAAAGUUACUUGAAAACAAUGAAAAAAUAUUUUCAAAAUAAAACACACGUGUUGAUUGUGACGGCAAAGACCAUA